rnacentral:lncRNA from 1 species
CAUGGUAUCUAAAUUUAAUUUUUCUUACCCGUACUGGGUACUUUACCCAAAUCUAUGCCUGGAGCCCUUGAGGUAACUUGUACGUGUGGACAGUUACUACAUUGGCUUUUCUUUAAGGCCUUGCUUACAUGCCAAAAGUGUCUUGUAGGUGCUCCACACGCUUGCCCAAUUAUUAUGUCUUUUAUACCUCAUUGUUCUUUGUCAAUGGCUUUAGGUGUUUGCUAAUAGCUUGUUCAAGGUUGGACAACUUGGUUUUAAGCCAAUGCAGGGAACAAUUGCUAUAAGUUGUAACUGUGGCUGGUAGUCUUUCAUUUGUUUUGUAGCCCCUCCUAUCUGUAUAGAAAUCUGCAGUUUCGGCUAGGGAAUUGCAAGUUGUUUGUAAUCCCUGCACUUGUAAAGAUAUUGGUAACUGCAAGAGGACCUUUGUGGUAAGCAAAAUUAAGAAUUUUGGAAGGCCAUUAAACUGAAUCUUAUCUGCAUGGCCUUCGGCUUGUAAGGGUUGUUGUAUCAUUGGUUCCUUCUUCUGUAUCUUUGCUGUUAUCUGUUUUUUCGAAAAGAAAAACAACAAGUGGUACAAAUUGUUGGGGAAGGUUUAUCUGGUUUUGAUGUUGCAGGAAAACUGGAUAUAGUAGGUUUACUUUUAAGCGUGUCUUUUUUGGACAAUUGUAAUGUGAUUAUGUACAAGAAAACAUUCUGAACCUUUUUGGAAGUAGGAGGCUUAUAAAUAGUUUUUGUGAGAUGUAAUACAGUGUGGAAUUGGACAUAGCUAGAACUUUUUGGGUGAGAGACAUCUAGUCUCUACUCUUUUGUGUAAACGAGUUAAAACAUCAUCAAAUACUCUAUUAAUUUUAUUUAUUUUUUAUUGAUAAAAAAAAUAAUAUAAGAUUUUGUAGUACUCUAAAUCUUAGUUUGGUAUAUUGCAGGUAACACAGUGAAGCUUGCAGUCUUAUAUGAAGGCAGAAAUAGGAGUCCUUUGAUGUAUGCCGUGCCUUACUGCUUGCCUAUAUGUGAAGUGGUUCCCUAUUACUAGCAAGAGCACAAGAACUAUAAAAAUACGGCUUUUGUAAGGUCUUCAAGCUUUCAUAUGUAUCCAAGUUAUGUAUGAUAAGUACCCAAUCAAACUGCCUAAUUUUACUGUUAGGUUGGAAAUUAGUCUUGUAAACCAGUGUUUAUUCUACCAGAAAAGAAUGUUACUGGACUGAUGCAAUUCUUUAAGGUAUUCUAUCACUUUUGUAAAUAUAUAUAUAUAUAUAUAUAUAUAUUGUCGAACAAAAUAUGUAUAGUUUAUAUAUAUGUGGGUGUUUCUUAGUUUUCAACAUAGAAAUCGAGAAAAUAUAUCUUGUGGAUGAGGUAGGAGGCGG